rnacentral:ncRNA from 2 species
AUAUAUUAGAACUAUAUAGGCGCCUGAAAGGGCUUAAUAGGGAAUUCCGUGUAAACGGAAACGGUCCCGCCGCUGUAAUCACGUCCAUAUCAAAUUUUCACAGAAUAAUUUGAUAUGGGAAAACUUUUUGGCACUCAAGCCACUGUCCUAAUUAUUUGGAUGGGAAGGCAGUCAAGAAGGCGCGAUAGUCAGAAGACCUACCUAUAUAAUAAACUCAAA